rnacentral:rRNA from 1 species
CCUACGGGAGGCAGCAGUGAGGAAUAUUGGUCAAUGGCCGUAAGGCUGAACCAGCCAAGUAGCGUGAGGGAAGACUGCCCUAUGGGUUGUAAACUGCUUUUAUACGGGAAUAACGCGCCUUACGUGUAGGGCUUUGCAUGUACCGUAUGAAUAAGGACCGGCUAAUUCCGUGCCAGCAGCCGCGGUAAUACGGAAGGUCCGGGCGUUAUCCGGAUUUCUUGGGUUUAAAGGGAGCGUAGGCCGCAUGUCAAGCGUGCUGUGAAAUGUCCGGGCUCAACCCGGGCCUUGCAGCGCGAACUGGCGUGCUUGAGUCCGCGGAAAGCAGGCGGAAUUCGUCGUGUAGCGGUGAAAUGCUUAGAUAUGACGAAGAACCCCGAUUGCGAAGGCAGCUUGCUGCAGCGGAACUGACGCUGAUGCUCGAAAGCGCGGGUAUCGAACAGGAUUAGAUACCCCUGUAGUC